rnacentral:rRNA from 1 species
AUUGAACGCUGGCGGCAGGCCUAACACAUGCAAGUCGAACGAGUGGAGGACGGGUGAGUAAUGUCUGGGAAACUGCCUGAUGGAGGGGGAUAACUACUGGAAACGGUAGCUAAUACCGCAUACUCACAGAUGAGCCUAGGUCGGAUUAGCUAGUUGGUGGGGUAAAGGCCUACCAAGGCGACGAUCCGUAACUGGUCUGAGAGGAUGAUCAGCCACACUGGAACUGAGACACGGUCCAGACUCCUACGGGAGGCAGCAGUGGGGAAUAUUGGACAAUGGGCGAAAGCCUGAUCCAGCCAUGCCGCGUGUGUGAAGAAGGUCUUCGGAUUGUAAAGCACUUUAAGUUGGGAGGCGUUACCAGCAGAAGAAGCACCGGCUAACUCCGGGCCAGCAGCCGCGGUAAUUC